rnacentral:rRNA from 2 species
GCAACGCCGCGUGAGGGACGACGGCCUUCGGGUUGUAAACCUCUUUUAGUAGGGAAGAAGGGCUUCGGUCUGACGGUACCUGCAGAAAAAGCACCGGCUAACUACGUGCCAGCAGCCGCGGUAAUACGUAGGGUGCAAGCGUUAUCCGGAAUUAUUGGGCGUAAAGAGCUCGUAGGCGGUUUGUCGCGUCUGCUGUGAAAACUGGAGGCUCAACCUCCAGCCUGCAGUGGGUACGGGCAGACUAGAGUGCGGUAGGGGAGAUUGGAAUUCCUGGUGUAGCGGUGGAAUGCGCAGAUAUCAGGAGGAACACCGAUGGCGAAGGCAGAUCUCUGGGCCGUAACUGACGCUGAGGAGCGAAAGCAUGGGGAGCGAACAGGAUUAGAUACCCUGGUAGUCCAUGCCGUAAACGUUGGGAACUAGAUGUAGGGACCAUUCCACGGUUUCUGUGUCGCAGCUAACGCAUUAAGUUCCCCGCCUGGGGAGUACGGCCGCAAGGCUAAAACUCAAAGGAAUUGACGGGGGCCCGCACAAGCGGCGGAGCAUGCGGAUUAAUUCGAUGCAACGCGAAGAACCUUACCAAGACUUGACAUAUACGAGAACGGGCUAGAAAUAGUUCACUCUUUGGACACUCGUAAACAGGUGGUGCAUGGUUGUCGUCAGCUCGUGUCGUGAGAUGUUGGGUUAAGUCCCGCAACGAGCGCAACCCUCGUUCUUUGUUGCCAGCACGUAAUGGUGGGAACUCAAAGGAGACUGCCGGGG